rnacentral:rRNA from 1 species
AGUCAAUAGAUACCCGGGUAGUCCCAGCAGUAAACGGUGCGCGUUUGGUGUGAGCAGAUUCGACUCUGUUCGCGCCGGAGCUAACGCGUUAAACGCGCCGCCUGGGAAGUACGAUCGCAAGAUUAAAACUCAAAGAAAUUGACGGGGGCCCGGCACAAGCGGUGGAGUAUGUGGCUUAAUUCGAUGCAACGCGAAGAACCUUACCUGGGUUUGUACAUGCAUCUCUAAGGAGGUGAAAGCUUCCGAGGGUAGCAAUACCCGAUUUGCACAGGUGCUGCAUGGCUGUCGUCAGCUCGUGUCGUGAGAUGUUGGGUUUAAGUCCCGCAACGAGCGCAACCCUUGUAUGCUGUUGCUAUGCUUACGCAUAGCUCUCUGCGUAGACUGCCCCGUGAAACGGGGAGGGAGGUGGGGAUGACGUCAAGUCAGCAUGGCCCGUUUACACCCAGGGGCUGCACACGUACUACAAUGCUCAGUACAAUUAGAACCUG